rnacentral:rRNA from 1 species
GACAGAGGUGCCGAGCGUUAGGCGGAAUCACUGGGCUUAAAGCGUGUGUAGGCGGGCGGGCAAGUACCUUGUGAAAUCCCACGGCUCAACCGUGGAACGGCUGGGUAUACUGCCUGUCUUGAGCCAACUAGGGGCGAGCGGAACAGACGGUGGAGCGGUGAAAUGCGUAGAUAUCGUCUGGAACGCCGAAGGUGAAAACAGCUCGCUGGGGUGUGCUGACGCUGAGACACGAAGCCAGGGAGCGAACGGG